CGGACGGGUGAGUAACGCGUGAGGAACCUGCCUCAAAGAGGGGGACAACAGUUGGAAACGACUGCUAAUACCGCAUAAGCCCACGGGUCGGCAUCGACCUGAGGGAAAAGGAGCAAUCCGCUUUGAGAUGGCCUCGCGUCCGAUUAGCUAGUUGGUGAGGUAAUGGCCCACCAAGGCGACGAUCGGUAGCCGGACUGAGAGGUUGAACGGCCACAUUGGGACUGAGACACGACCCAG
rnacentral:rRNA from 1 species